rnacentral:rRNA from 1 species
GGCCGGCGCUCUUCUCGGCUCACGCAGUCGGUUGAGGGCUUGGUCAUCCGUAUGGGAAGCUAGCUCGGCCUUUACUGGUCGGUUAGUGGAUCAUACACUUUACUUUGAAAAAAUUAGAGUGUUUCAGGCAGGCAAUUGCUUGGAUACUGCAGCAUGGAAUAAUGGAAUAGGACUUUGACCUAUUUGUUGGUUUCUUCGAGGUCAAAGUA